rnacentral:lncRNA from 1 species
CACACACACAUUAGAUUCAUAUGAGCAGGCUUUAAUUACAAAAGUGUUGUUGUCAGUUUUAUGGGCCACAUUAUAAUGCUUUUCACUCUCUCUCUCUCUCUCUUCUUUUUAGACAAUGCUUUUAAGAUGCUUUUAAUGCAAUAUUUUAAUAAUAUAAUAUUUUCAUUCUCUCUCUAUUUUCAGUUGGUGCUUUUAAGAUCUUUCAAUACUUUAAUAACAUCAUGUUUUUGAUACACAUCAUGAUAUCCCACACUAAUCUUAAAGCAUCAAAAAAAAUAAGAAAAAGGAGUCUUCUUCCUGUCAUUUUUCUGAUGAAAUCUAACUUUGGGAAGGACUAAAAUAGCUCCUUACACCCCUAUUUAAGGACUUCACAAUCUUCCCUUCCUUUCCACUUUAAGAAGUGCAUAGUUUGUCAAGGAUCACCGGUGAUUUCUCACUUCUUCUUCACAGAAGCCUUUCACCAUGCUUGGUGGAAAUCAGGUUAAAGAGGGUGCUGGAGUCCAAGAUAAGCCUUGUCUCUCUUGCGUCUCACUUUUUCCUUCCUUCUCAUAAUGUUAGUAUUGGAAAGAAUUCUUCAUGAGUGC